CCUACGGGAGACUGCAGUGGGGAAUAUUGCACAAUGGGGGAAACCCUGAUGCAGCGACGCCGCGUGAGUGAAGAAGUAUUUCGGUAUGUAAAGCUCUAUCAGCAGGGAAGAAAGUGACGGUACCUGAUUAAGAAGCCCCGGCUAACUACGGGCCAGCAGCCGCGGUAAUACGUCGGGGGCAAGCGUUAACCGGAUGUACUGGGUGGAAAGGGAGCGUAGACGGCAGCACAAGUCUGGCGUGAAAUGCCGGGGCUCAACCCCGGAACUGCUUUGGAAACUGUGCAGCUAGAGUGCCGGAGAGGUAAGUGGAAUUCCUAGUGUAGCGGUGAAAUGCGUAGAUAUUAGGAGGAACACCAGUGGCGAAGGCGGCUUACUGGAAUGUAACUGACGUUGAGGCUCGAAAGCGUGGGGAGCAAACAGGAUUAGAUACCCGGGUAGUC
rnacentral:rRNA from 1 species